UAUUCUGUGGCUUAGUUGGUUAAAGCGCAUGACUAGCGAUACAAAGUCAUGGGUCCGAAUCCCAUUGGAACAA
rnacentral:tRNA from 1 species